GUCACUGAAGUGAGGACCAGACAGACGGUUAUCAGACAGGUCAAGUAUCUUCAGGGACCGGUUAUUCCUUAUUCCAGAUGCCAACUGGAUGCAGGAAGUGUCUUCUAGAUCAUUAUCAUCCAAACUCAGUGUCCUUAACGUUGAUUGUCUGCUGCACUUCCUACGCAACCACCACGACCCUAGCUUCGUACAGUUCCUCAUGUCAGGGUUUAGAUCAGGUUUCCACACUGGCCUAGUCGCCUUGCCUGAAUCGUCUUAUGAGUGCAGGAAUUUAUUGUCAGCGGAGCUUCACCCUCAGGCAGUGGAUGAACUGAUUUCCAUCGAGUUGACUAAGGGGUUCCUAAUAGGCCCCUUUUCUUCUCCUCCUUUUG